rnacentral:rRNA from 1 species
UGGGGAAUAUUGGGCAAUGGGCGCAAGCCUGACCCAGCAACGCCGCGUGAGGGAAGAAGGCCUUCGGGUUGUAAACCUCUGUCCUUGGUGACGAAAAAAAUGACGGUAGCCAAGGAGGAAGCCCCGGCUAACUACGUGCCAGCAGCCGCGGUAAUACGUAGGGGGCGAGCGUUGUCCGGAAUUACUGGGCGUAAAGGGUGCGUAGGUGGCCUUUUAAGUUGGAUGUGAAAUACCCGGGCUUAACUUGGGGGGUGCAUCUAAUACUGGAAGGCUAGAGUGCAGGAGAGGGAAGCGGAAUUCCUAGUGUAGCGGUGAAAUGCGUAGAUAUUAGGAGGAACACCAGUGGCGAAGGCGGCAUUCUGGACUGUAACUGACACUGAGGCGCGAAAGCGUGGGGAGCAAACA